rnacentral:rRNA from 1 species
UACGGAGGGGGCUAGCGUUAUUCGGAAUUAUUGGGCGUAAAGGGCGCGUAGGCGGCCCGGUAAGUCAAAGGUGAAAUCCCUCGGCUCAACUGAGGAACUGCCUUUGAAACUGGAAGGCUUGAGUGUGGCAGAGGGGGGUGGAAUUCCACGUGUAGCAGUGAAAUGCGUAGAGAUGUGGAGGAACACCGAUGGCGAAGGCAGCCCCCCUGGGCUAACACUGACGCUCAUGCACGAAAGCGUGGGGAGCAAACAGG